rnacentral:miRNA from 1 species
ACCAAAUUCAUGUAAAACAUGAAGCCGCAGCUGAAUGUUCUACAGGAAAUCAACAUGUAAAACUCACUGCUCCUUUUCUACUUUAUUCCCCAAUUUUACACACCUUCACAUUUUCUCACUUGUACACAAGGAUCUCCCUAAUUUGGGAAUAAAGUAGAAAAGGAGCAGUGAGUUUUACAUGUUGAUUUCCUGUAGAACAUUCAGCUGCGGCUUCAUGUUUUACAUGAAUUUGGU